rnacentral:rRNA from 1 species
CGGUACGUACUGGCAUUGUUGGUUUCUCCCUUCUGACGAACCAUGAUGUCAUUUCUUUGGUGUUGUGGGGAAUCAGGACUGUUACUUUGAAAAAAUUAGAGUGUUUAAAGCAGGCUCACGCUUGAAUACAUUAGCAUGGAGUAAUGAAAUAGGACGUUUGAUUCUAUUUUGUUGGUUUCUAGGAUCGACGUAAUGAUUAAUAGGGAUAGUUGGGGGCAUUAGUAUUCAAUUGUCAGAGGUGAAAUUCUUGGAUUUAUUGAAGACUAACUACUGCGAAAGCAUUUGCCAAGGAUGUUUUCAUUAAUCAAGAACGAAAGUUAGGGGAUCGAAGACGAUCAGAUACCGUCGUAGUCUUAACCAUAAACUAUGCCGACUAGGGAUCGGAUGAUGUUAAUUUUUUAAUGACUCAUUCGGCGCCUUACG